rnacentral:rRNA from 1 species
UACAGAGGGGGCAAGCGUUGUUCGGAAUUACUGGGCGUAAAGGGCGCGUAGGCGGCCGCCUAAGUCAGACGUGAAAUCCCUCGGCUCAACCGGGGAACUGCGUCUGAUACUGGGGUGGCUUGAAUUCGGGGAGAGGGAUGCGGAAUUCCAGGUGUAGCGGUGAAAUGCGUAGAUAUCUGGAGGAACACCGGUGGCGAAGGCGGCAUCCUGGACCGAGAUUGACGCUGAGGCGGCGAAAGCCAGGGGAGCAAAGCGGG